AUUGAACGCUGGCGGCGUGCUUAACACAUGCAAGUCGAUCGGUAACAGGUGUAGCAAUACAUGCUGACGAGAGGCGGACGGGUGAGUAAUGCUUGGGAAUCUGCCUAUUAGUGGGGGACAACCCGGGGAAACUCGGGCUAAUACCGCAUACGCUCUACGGAGGAAAGCCGGGGACCGCAAGGCCUGGCGCUAAUAGAUGAGCCCAAGUCGGAUUAGCUAGUUGGUAGGGAACGGCCUACCAAGGCGACAAUCCGUAGCUGGUCUGAGAGGACGACCAGCCACACCGGAACUGAGACACGGUCCGGACUCCUACGGGAGGCAGCAGUGGGGAAUAUUGGACAAUGGGGGCAACCCUGAUCCAGCGACGCCGCGUGGGUGAAGAAGGCC
rnacentral:rRNA from 1 species